rnacentral:lncRNA from 1 species
AGGGAAUUAUUUGCUUGUCUUUGACCACCGUGCACUGCAUCUCUUUGAUGCUCUGAUGUUCACCGCUCCCUCAACCAAGUGCUGCCUCUUCCCGGGCAGAUUGUCUCUCCGGCAUCCCUCUGGCCUUCCCACUCUGGCUCCCAUAGCCUCUGGGCCAACUCCGCUCUGAACUAUAGUUACGAGACGGGCAUCUGUCUUCCCCACCAUGCUACAAACCCCUGAGAAGAGGUCCUGCCUUUUAUGACUUAGAUUCCCCACAGGAAGCGUAUUACUGGCACACAGAGGUUCUCAAGACAAACAUUCCUUAAAUGAACAAACAGGUAAUCACAUGAAUGGAGGCCAAGGAGCACAAGUGACGCUCAUGUGUUCAGGGAGCAGUAAAGGGACUGAUUGAUAACAGAGCCUGGGAGGUGGGCAGAUUCCACCUUGCGGCAGUUUCAGUCCACACCGAUGAUCAAACUGGAUGGAUUCAGGGCUUUGAAGGCACGCACGAUUGCAAAGAGCAAGUUCAAUUUCCUUUGGGAGCUGCCGAACAUUAAAUUAACCUUUUUAAUCCUUGAAAAGCGGCGCAAACGCAGUCUGCACACUUUGUGUGCUCUGCAGCUGACUGGGGUAGGGGGGAACACCAGCCUUUGGAGCAUUAGAGAGAAAGCUAUUAAAGCUGCGUAUUUUUUAAAAGAGAGAGAGUAUAAAGAAGAAUUACAAGAAGCCCCCGAAAUUACAAGUGUGGGUUACAGUAAUUGCUAAAUUACAGAGCUCCAGCUUUAUUAGACACACACCCCCUCGGCUUCUGCCGAUUUCUAGGGCUGUCUUGAGCUGACAAAAGCCAAAAAGCCCUGUGGGAAGUCUGGCAGGGAGCUGAAUGGGGCUAAUGGGAACCCCCCCUUGUGGGUGAGGCUGGGACACAGAAGUCUGGGUCAAGACCAGGGCAGUUUCUGUUUUCUAGUUAUGAAUUCAUAGGUGGGGGGUGGAGUAGACAAUGUACCAUGUGCUGGGGUUUGGAGGUAGAACGGGGGUGUUCACAUUUUCCUACUAUGUGGAAGCAGCCGUGGCCUGUGACCAGUUGAUUUGGAAAUCUGAGAUGUGUCCCGGGGUCUUUGAGGGCCCUGGAUUCAGCAGAGAAGGCCCUUCAUCAGGCUGAUAGUCAUCAUUUUCUCCAUCCACAGCCUUAGCAUCUAAGCUCGGUGUCCUGUUCAAUAGCACUCCCCCUCCAUACACCUGCCUGCUGCCACACCAGCCACAGAUGGGCACAUGCCACCUACCUUUUACGUACAGACACACAUUAACUUUAUCAUGCUGUCAUCUUCUUUCCCAAACACUAAAGAGAAAGACCUCAGCUUACCUUCAAAACACCGGAAGCGAGUGGCAAAAUUAAUCUAAUGAAUGCUACAUCCAAGCCCAGACCCGGCUCAACUGGACACUAGAUGGCUUAGCCCCUCACACUUACGGCCUGAAAGAAGAAGGGUCGUUUUCUUUUUUCCAAGAGGAAUGUAUUUAAUUUUUCCAGGAGAAAUGUAUUUAAUUUUUCCAGGAGAAAUGUAUUUAUGUUGCACACUCCUGGCUUUUUUACAUAUAGCAUUUAGGGUAAAUAAAAAAUUACAUGCAAAGAAGCAGGAAAAUGUGACCCAUAAUCAGGAGAAAAACUGUCAGUAGAAGUAGACCCAGAGAUGGUUGAGAUGUUAGAAUGACUGGACAAGGAGUUUAUGAUAAAGAUGUUAAAAUAUCUAGUAGGGAAGGAGGCAGCAGGUGAAUAGGGCAGCAGAAAGGGCACCAGAUGGGGCUGCAAACAGCUCACCAUCUCCUCUGCUGUCAGCUCUGCCCUCCUCCUUCUG